AUUGAACGCUGGCGGCAGGCCUAACACAUGCAAGUCGAACGAGUGGCGGACGUGUGAGUAAUGUCUGGGAAACUGCCUGAUGGAGGGGGAUAACUACUGGAAACGGUAGCUAAUACCGCAUACCAUCGGAUGUGCCCAGAUGGGAUUAGCUAGUGGGUGGGGUAAAGGCUCACCUAGGCGACGAUCCCUAGCUGGUCUGAGAGGAUGACCAGCAAAACUGGAACGGAGAAACGGUCCAGACUCCUACGGGAGGCAGCAGUGGGGAAUAUUGCACAAUGGGCGAAAGACUGAUGCAGCCAUGCCGCGUGUAUGAAGAAGGCCUUCGGGGUGUAAAGUACUUUCAGCGGGGAGGCGUUACCCGCAGAAGAAGCACCGGCUAACUCCGUGCCAGCAGCCGCGGUAUUC
rnacentral:rRNA from 1 species